AUGGCUCAGGACGAACGCUGGCGGCGUGCUUAACACAUGCAAGUCGAACGGUAAGGCCCUUUCGGGGGUACACGAGUGGCGAACGGGUGAGUAACACGUGGGUGACCUGCCCUGUACUUCGGGAUAAGCCUGGGAAACUGGGUCUAAUACCGGAUAUGACCUUCCUCUGCAUGGGGGUUGGUGGAAAGCUCUUGCGGUACAGGAUGGGCCCGCGGCCUAUCAGCUUGUUGGUGGGGUAAUGGCCUACCAAGGCGACGACGGGUAGCCGGCCUGAGAGGGCGACCGGCCACACUGGGACUGAGACACGGCCCAGACUCCUACGGGAGGCAGCAGUGGGGAAUAUUGCACAAUGGGCGAAAGCCUGAUGCAGCGACGCCGCGUGAGGGAUGACGGCCUUCGGGUUGUAAACCUCUUUCAGUAGGGACGAAGCGCAAGUGACGGU
rnacentral:rRNA from 1 species